ensembl:snRNA U6 U6 spliceosomal RNA
GUGCUCACUUCAGCAGCACAUAGACUAAAAUUGGACUGAUACAGGGAAGAUUAGCAUGGCCCUUGCGCAAGGAUGACACGCAAAUUCGUGAAGCAUUCCAUAUUUUU